UUAAGAACAUUCUUAUUUACAAUGACGGCAUAGGAACAGUGGGUUAACUGCCUUGUUCAGGGGAAGAACGGCAGAUAUUUACCUCGUCAGCUUGGUGAUUUGAUCUAGUAACCUUUCAGUUACUGGCCCAACGCUCUAACCACUAGGCUACCUGCCUCCCCAAGCCUUCACCGUGGUUGUAAGGUUUACUAGAAUGUUUCCAGACAUAUUCCGCUAUGCGUUACACUGCUGAAGAACCACAAUCAUUUUAAUUGAACCUUGUCUUUAUCAAAUCAAAUGUAUCCCAUUUAGAUGGAGUAUGUUUUCAAGAGAAACCUGGUCCUUAGACUGCAGCAGUUUUGAGAGGUAUUUGGGGAAACUGCGACACAAAAUGGCCGCUAUUAUUAGCUCUGCUCUUGUUUUUUUUUACUCCGUCUGGUUUUACUUACUUUACGUUUCCCAAUCCUGGUCUUGAGAGACCUGUGUGUGUGUGUGAUGUUUUUUUUAAUCAUAACCAUCCUCUGUUAAAUUUGUGUUGAUUUGUUACAGGGUACUGAAGACCAGUUUACACAGGGACCCUUCGGGCAGGUGUGUAACUUGCGGCGCAACGGGUCAAUUUGAACCCCCCAAUAAUAUGCCAUGUUUAGUUUGAUUUCCUACUGUAAAGCGCCAAGCAACUACAUGCUUUCUUGCUUUGCACCACAGAAUCAGUUCCUCGUUUUAUGCUCGUAUCUCCCCACUGCCAAAUAUGCUUUUGGCUGCGCCCGGUCCAAGGGGCGCCGUCCCAUUGUAAGCGCAGAAAUGCGCACAAUGCAGUAUAGGCUACACUCGAAUGUUCCAAAAUGCAAUUGGCGGGAGCCGUUCUAAAAAGCGCACCGUAUGUCAGUGGUUUUAUGUGACCGAGAUGAGCAUUUAGAAAGAGGGGAGAUCUAAAGAUGCAACAGCUAGCAUGGGUUGCUAAUAUGACUAGGAUUGUCUUGGGCUGCUGGACUAUGAAUUAAAGUUGAUAGAAACCCAAUAGAACAUGCUAGAAAUGCUGGUUUCCGUGGCAUAAGGAUCUGUUUAUAAAAUCAUUCCCUCAAUAUUUUAUGGUCUGAUUUUUUGCUAGGCUACUUUGGAACAAGAUCGAGUCAUGCGUCCUCCAAAACAUGACCCGCCAAGCAGCGCUUCUUAACAUCCGCUCGCUUAACCCGGAAGCCAGCCGCACCAAUAUGUUGGAGGAAACACCGUUCAACUGACGACCGACUACAGCUUGCAUGCGCCGGGUCCUCCAAGGAAUCGCUAGAGCGCGAUGAGCCAAGUAAAAUUCCCUCCCCGCCAAACCCCUCUUAGACCGCUGCGCCACUCAGGAGGCCGUUACAACCUUAUUCUAAAAUUGAUUAAAUACAUGUUUUAAAUCCUCUUCAUUCUACACACAAUACAGAUAAUGACGAAACACAUUUGUUUUGGGGCGGGGGACAAUUUAAAAAAUAAUAAACAUUAUUUUCAAGUAUUCA